UACAGAGGUCUCAAGCGUUGUUCGGAUUCAUUGGGCGUAAAGGGUGCGUAGGCGGCGCCGUAAGUCAGGUGUGAAAUUUCGGAGCUUAACUCCGAAACUGCAUUUGAUACUGCGGUGCUUGAGGACUGGAGAGGAGACUGGAAUUCACGGUGUAGCAGUGAAAUGCGUAGAUAUCGUGAGGAAGACCAGUGGCGAAGGCGGGUCUCUGGACAGGGCCUGACACUGAGGCACGAAGGCUAGGGGAGCAAACGGG
rnacentral:rRNA from 1 species